rnacentral:rRNA from 1 species
UACGGAGGGUGCAAGCGUUAAUCGGAUUUACUGGGCGUAAAGGGCGCGUAGGCGGCCUGUGCAAGUCAGUUGUGAAAUCUCCGAGCUUAACUCGGAACGGUCAACUGAUACUGCUCGGCUAGAGUGCGGAAGGGGCAACUGGAAUUCUUGGUGUAGCGGUGAAAUGCGUAGAUAUCCGGAAGAACACCGAUGGCGAAGGCAACCACCUGGGCCUGCACUGACGCUGAGGUACGAAAGCGUGGGGAGCAAACAGG